AGUCAUCCGUGGCAACACUGGUGAAGACCUAGUGGCGAACGGGUGAGUAACACGUGAGAAACCCACCCCGAUCUCUGGGAUAACAGGUGGAAACACCUGCUAACACCGGAUGCCUUCACCGCAUCGCAUGGCGUGGUGAAGAAAGGUUACGGAUCGGGACGGUCUCGCGGCCUAUCAGCUUGUUGGCGGGGUAAUGGCCCACCAAGGCUUCGACGGGUAGCUGGUCUGAGAGGACGAUCAGCCACACUGGGACUGAGACACGGCCCAGACUCCUACGGGAGGCAGCAGUGGGGAAUCUUGCUCAAUGGGCGAAAGCCUGAAGCAGCAACGCCGCGUGCGGGAUGACGGCCCCCGGGUUGUAAACCGCUUUCAGCAGGGAAGAAAACAGACGGUACCUGCAGAAGAAGGUCCGGCUAACUACGUGCCAGCAGCCGCGGUAACACGUAGGGGCCAAGCGUUGUCCGGAUUCAUUGGGCGUAAAGAGCUCGUAGGCGGUUCAGUUAGUCGGGUGUGAAAUCUCCGGGCUCAACCCGGAGGGGCCACCCCGAUACUGCUGUGACUCGAGUCCGGUAGGGGAGUGG
rnacentral:rRNA from 1 species